rnacentral:tRNA from 1 species
GCCUGGCUGGCUCAGUCAGUAGAACAUGUGACUCUUAAUCUCCAGGUUGUGAGUUCGAGCCCCACGUUGAGCG